AUUGAACGCUGGCGGCAGGCUUAACACAUGCAAGUCGAGCGAGCGGCGGACGGGUGAGUAAUGUCUGGGAAACUGCCCGGUGGAGGGGGAUAACUACUGGAAACGGUAGCUAAUACCGCAUACUAUUAGAUGUGCCCAGAGGGGAUUAGCUAGUAGGUGGGGUAAUGGCUCACCAAGGCGACGAUCCGUAGCUGGUUUGAGAGGAGGACCAGCCACACUGGGACUGAGACACGGUCCAGACUCCUACGGGAGGCAGCAGUGGGGAAUUUUGGACAAUGGGGGAAAUCCUGAUGCAGCCAUGCCGCUUGUGUGAGGAAGGCCUUCGGGUUGUAAAGUACUUUCAGCGGGGAGGCGUUACUCGCAGAAGAAGCACCGGCUAACUCCGUGCCAGCAGCCGCGGUAAUAC
rnacentral:rRNA from 1 species